rnacentral:misc_RNA from 1 species
GAACGCACAUUGCGCCCGCUAGUAUUCUGGCGGGCAUGCCUGUUCGAGCGUCAUUUCAACCAUCAAGUCCCCGGGCUUGCGUUGGGGCCCUGCGGCUGCCGCAGGCCCCUAAAACCAGUGGCGGGCUCGCUGUCACACCGAGCGCAGUAGCAAUACCUCGCUCUGGGCGUGGCGCGGGUACUUGCCGUAAAACACACCACUUAUUCAGGUUGACCUCGGAUCAGGUAGGAAUACCCGCUGAACUUAAG